CCUCGUCCUGACCUUCACAAACGAGCAGAGCCGCCAGAGACAGCGAGAUCUGGGCGGAACUGCGCAUGAAGCCCCGAGACAUCAGCCAUCGGGCAGCAGAACCAGCAUCGGCCGACACCUCAUGCCGCACGAGAGACCGAAGGAGCCGUGACCAGCCCGCCGCGCGCCUUGGGCCAGGCCCCCCGUCCAGAUCCGGGGCAGAGGAGAGCAUGCCGGCGCCGCGACCGAUCUGAGCCGCCCCGCACUCCGUGCACGCCCCGCACCUCCAGGCCGCCCACCUCCGCAGCCAACACCCCCGCCAAGCCGCCGCCGAGCACCCGCAGCAAGCGCGGAGAAGCGCCGUGCCGGCCGCCAGAACACGAGCCCCCGCCCGUGUAAAGCAGCCCGGGUCGCCAGGUCCCCGCCGCCGCCGGAUCCGUAGGGGCUUCGCCCGGAGGAGUCCGUCUGGCGGCGGCGAGGGGAGGGGAAGCUGGAGAGAGGGGGCCUGCUGCGGCGGGAGGAGCGGCGCCGCCCGAGUCGCCCUGGGGGAGGACGACGCGGGGGCCGGCUGGUGUGCAAAAUGUGUUCUUGUAUGCACAAAGAAACACUCAUGGAGAGAAACUUAUUUUUUCUUCCCAGAAUACUAUCGAGACACCAUACUCCAUCUUAUUUAUUGAUGAUUUUCAGGGGUUCUCAUGCUUGUUUAUUCUGGAUUUCUCUGUCAGAACUGCUUGUGUGUCCAUCUGCGACAAUGGCUUCUGGUCAGUUUAUCUAUUUCUUUCUUUCCUUGCAGUGGCGGAGCUACAAAGAAAAGCCUGAGCAGGCCAAUCUAAAAAAUAUGAAAAAAUCAACCCAAGGAAAGGAUGAUGAGCUGCUGCUGAAAAGUCUUCCUCAACUCCAUCCGUAACCUGUUUGCGUGGCUCGUGCCCUAGCAUCGAGGGCGACCGAGGCUGGAUGCAAGGAGAGAAGCUUGACGAGGCGAGACAGCAUGCGAGCGAGGCUGUCGUGGGCUGGCCUGCGCGUAUAUAGUUAAUUUUUACCUCAGCGGCUGGGCGGGCCAUGGCACGCUUUUGCCCUCGCGAAGCUCCACCGGUGCUUCCUUGCUCCCUAGUGUUGUUCAUUAUACUGUAUCUUAGGAACCUUAAUUACUUAUUUCUUUCUACUGCAAGGUAUUUGGUCAGUUUCAACCUGGACCGCGUAUCUUGGAGUGACAACCCACAUUCAGCUGUUAUAUCUCGAAAUGGCUCACAUGGCAAGUUGGAUUCCAUUCCUGUGCAGGUUGGCACUCAGCUGGGGAUUGAAGUUUUUAGCAGGAAUUACUUGGCUUCGAAUAACUACCUGGAAGCAUUAGUGGUGCAGUGUUGGAGAUUAAAUCCAGCUAGUACUAUAGUAUACUUGAAAUAAAAAAAAUGCUUAUAGCGCUUUCUAUAUAUGUUGUGAUACAAAUAUUUGUUUUCAGAAAUCAGACUAGAUUGUUGGAAGUUUGUAUUUU